rnacentral:tRNA from 1 species
UUCCUGGUGGCUCAGCAGUAGAGAAUCUGCCUGCAAUGCGGGAGACCCAGGUUCGAUCCCUGGGUGGGGAA